CCUGCUGAGCAGAGAGCCCGAUGUGGGGCUCGAUCCCAGGACCCUGGGAUCAUGACCUGAGCUGAAGGCAGAGGCUUUAACCCACUGAGCCACCCAGGCGUCCCCCUGGUUAGUCUUUCAAAAAAGGGACAGCAUUUUAUCACAGUUUGCUUUGUUAAAUAAUGUAUUUCAGUAGCUCAUUUAAUACAGUUCUCUUUCUCUGAUGAAUGAGCCAUGCAAAGACAGCCUUUUUCCUCAUCUAGAAUUCAUAAGAGGACUUCCUGUACUUUCAUAGCUGUUGUGUUCUUUUUUUUUCCCACCAAUAUAUUUGCUAAUAUGUUUCAACUGAAAUUUCACAAGAAUUUUGUAACAUGCUAAUUGUGUGCAACAGAAUGAUUGACAUGAGAGAAUGUACGUACUGUUUGGAUAGCUUACUAUCUAUGCAUGGCAUUCCAAAUGUCUGAGGAAUCAGGGUUUGUUAAUAGAUCAGAUUGGUUCCUUGGAAAUUAUAAAGGCUUCCGACUUAGGCGUUUAUGUUGCUCAUUCAUUAAGAAUACGUACAUCUUUCUUAAAUAUUCAUUAGGGAGGAGGGAUUUUCUGAAAGAGGGAUUUUCUAAAAUAAAUGACUUUCAUGGGCAUAUUUGGUGGAGCAGACUACUGUAACUUUUAAUAUAACUUAAAAAUAAGAAUUCUUCUGAAAAAUGUAUGCACUGAAUUAAUGCUCUUUUAGGAAAACACUCAGUUAUGUUGUAGGAACAAGCACAGCUCACCCAAUACCGAAAACAUUUUCAUUUUAAAUAUAAUUAUGUUGAAGAAAUUUAAACAUAUAAACCACCAAUUACAAAGUGACUAUAGUUAGUGACUUAACAUUUUUAUCAGUUCACCUCUGGAUGUUGUUGUGUUAGAAUUUUGAGAAUAUGUUUCUAAAUUGAAAAAAACAACCACCUUUUUUUCCUCGUGGACUUUCCAUGAUCAAAAUAAAAAUUUUACAUUAAUGACUGUAUAACAUUACUGUACCGUGAAAAAAAAGGGGCGUUCCUUCUUAGAAUAUCCCUCUUGGCAUACUUGGCCCUGUAGCCUAACACACUCACAUUUUGCAUGACCAGACUGGUGCCCUGGGUAGUGCUGGCUGCCAGUGUCCGAGCUGCUGGGUCAAAAUGUUGUUUGUUUGUUGCUAUUGUGGCUUUCUGUCAGAGCAGAACAGAUUUGUCUGCUUCUCAAUCUAGAGAUCAUGAGCAGAUGACAUAAAAGAAAAAAAAAUCUCUAAAAUGACACAGCUCUAUUUUCUAGGAGGGAGGCGGAAGGAGCAGUGAGGAGCGCCCUGUGUCCUUGAACAGAGCAAAUGUUAGGAAGCAGAGAUCAGCCUGCGUUCAGUUGAUCCCACUGUUUGCUCUCCAGCGAGCUUUCGCCCUGUGUGUAAACCGCUCGGGAGGCAGUGCAAAAUAAUAGAGAUGCUCAAGUUAAUGCCACUUCGAGGUAAGUUCUCUGUCUAAAUAGAGCGAGAUCAGAAGACUCAAUUUCUUUGCCACCAAGCGUGUCUUCCAGGUACAUUUACCUGUGGAUGAAAAAAAAUGCCCAUAUGGAAAAAGCAAUAUUAUAACUGGUAAGGGCAGCUUAUCAGUAUAUGCAGGUAUGUUACGCCAUUUGAUUCUUACCGGCUUAUGGGACGAGUGAAAUAUAUGUAAUUAUCCCAUGAUGCUGACACCGUGUAAAGACAUGAUUCCAGCGCAAGUGGGAAUGGAACCUCAGUCUUUCGAUCCCACUCACGUGUGCUAUGUGCCCACGUACGAUUGUAAGAAGAACGAUUAACUGCUCACGUAGUUACUAUACUUUUUCCUUGUCUAGAACACUUCAGAGCAAACGAUAUCGACUGAACCGGCCUGAGGAAAUACGAGUUAGCGAGGUUUGCAAGAAAAUAACAACGAUGCUCUUAGGACCUUUCCUGCUGGCUGUUGAGUGUUGGGUGGAAAGCAUUCACUUUGUGCUAGACACUGUGUGGGGUCCUCUGGGGACAAAAAUGCAAACCCCCAACAACGCAAACCUACAGUCACCACCCAGUGGGCCUGCUGGGAGGGACGGUCUUCCCAGGCUCACUCCUGCUCCGACGGCUCCUGCUGGGUUCGUGAAUGAGUGGUAAACAGUGGCCACCCUUCACUUAAGCCUCUCUAGGGACGGGUUUGCAGACAACCACCCCAACAGAGAAAGCGACAGCUCCCUCCCGGACAAACGGACAAACGGACAAACAGCAAACUUGCUAUCUCAAGCUACAAAGGAGGUGCGCUCUCCAAGCCCCCGAGAGUCAGCUGGGACAACCUCACACAGAAGCAGGUACACUGGGUCUCUCCAGGCCACCCCCCUGGGGCUCGGGUGGAGUAGAAGCAAGGCCCACCCCAAGUCUCUGAGCCAAGAUGUUCACGUCCUUGCCUGGCACACGUGUCACAAGGCAGGCUAACCAAUGAGCCGGUAAGGAGAUGGAAUGAAGUUUCCAGCCCUGGCAGCGCCCUCAGGAAGCUCACAGUCCGCCGGGAAGAAGGGGACGUGUAUGCAAAUAGCCGAAUCGGAGGGCCCGUUGUGCUCCGUCCACAGCUAGAGCGACCGCCUGGGGUGGGGGGGACCUGGUGCAUUUCCCAAGUGGGCGCUACACUUCACCAGGAUAGAAGACAACUUGUCACUAAACGGGGCUGGCAUACCGGGACAUACAUCUGAAGACUCGUUAAGCUUGCAUGUCUGUCUGCUUUCACCGAAAUGUCAGUUGAACCAAAGAUUUCAGUAUUAAACCAUGAAACCAUAGAGUUUAAGAGAAAAUGAAAGAAAUUUGGAUGAAUUUGACUUCCUAAACCAGAAUUCUGUGAGGGGAGGUAAUCACAGCUGUAUCACAGGUAAUGCUUUAGUUCUGUCUUUAGUCAGUACCUGAGGGGUCCCGUAAGACCACAAUCAAGAAUCCAAAAAUGGGCAACGGGUCUGAACACAAAUAUCACGAUAAACUAAAUAAGCAACAGAAAGUCUGGAAAUUACCGAAGCCUGCUUAACCUUUCCCGUAAUAAGAUAAAUGCAAAUUAAAACCACAAAGUGGUACAAUCAUUCACCUAUCAGAUUGGCUCAGACUAAGAAGUUUGAUAGCACAGCAUGUUUGCCAGAAUGUCAGGAGGGGUUCCCACAGCGGACUGCAGGGGCACCAACAGAAGCGCGUGCGCCCAGACCUUUCUCCGAAUCUACCCGGAUGGCAAAUGCCCACGGUCCUUGACCCACGGUUUAACAUCUAGGAAUUACUCGUGCAUACACGAGGCGAUUUCUCUACAAGGGUGUUGAUCGCAUUAAUGACUGGACCGGAAAGAAAUACGGCUGUGUGAAAUCACAUGUACGUAUGCAGGUGUAUUUGUUGCAGGCUCGCCUGGGAUACCAAAAACUUGGAAGCAAGUUGAAUGCCAACAAUUUGGGACUGAUCAAACGUUGUCUGUUCCUCUAUGUAUCUAGCCAUCGAUAUUAGCUCGCAAGGAAGUAGACAGAUGGUGUCCCUAAUCAAGACUGGAUUAUAAUUUUAAAUAUAAUCAUAAUGAAAACAUUUUAAUGAUGAGAACCAAGUGCCCAUUUCAUAAACAGGACACAUCCGCAUAAAACCUAGCAGGUAUAAGGGUAGUAUUAAUGCAUACCAGAAUGUUCUGCGACGGGAACAGUGCAGCUCUAUCUACACUGACCGCAAUCCCAUUGGAGAAUACACUGCAAGGUGAGAUAGACGUCACAGAACAGUGUGUUUAAUGGAAUGCUGCUAUUUUUAUAAAAAGGAAAUGUGUGUGUACACACACAGACACUCUGGAACCAUACUCUCAAGGCUGGUGACAGUGCAGA